rnacentral:rRNA from 1 species
AUGGCGUCGGCCGAUGUCCCUCUCACUCUCUCCCCCUCCUCUUCCCACCGCGCCGCCCACCACGUGCGUCUCCCAACUACGCCGCCGCCGCCGCCCUCCUGCGCUGCUGCGAAGGAGGCAACCACCGCCGCCCACCUCCGCAGCUCAACCAUCGCCGACCCAUCUCGCCCACCGCCUCCCACAGCUGGACCACCUCCUCCCCGAGUAGACCAGGAACUCCGCCUCGGCGAGAGCUACGCCAUCCUCGAGCCGCGCUUGCCGGGGAGCCGUGGAUCGACGAAAUCGCUCCCAUCUCCUCCCACUCGCGCCUCUCCUGUCUUCCCCGAUCCGUUCAAAAGAAUUAGGGUGCCCCGCCAGUGUAGUGGUCCGCCGCUCGCCGCCGCCGGAGGUCCACCACUCGCCACCUUCCCCCUCUCGAUUGCUUGCUAUGCAGCCUGGGCGUCGUGGUCCGCCACUCGCCGCCGCUGGACGGCUGGAGGUCGUCGGCACCCAAGUGCCGCCCACGCUCUGGCGCUUGCACGCCGCCGGCCCUGCCCCAUCCUACCCUCCGCCACCACCUUCCCCACCCCGAGCUCGGAUUUACGAAGCCCACUGCCUUCCAGUUCGAGCUCCGCCUCGACCUCAUCCCUGCUGCCGCCGUCUUCCCUGAACAAGCCCUCAUCUGAUACACUCUCGUCCGCGACGUGCUUCUCCAACCAUCGUCAGUAUGUCCUGAGUAUACCCACACUACAGGUUUCUGUAGUUCAAGAUCAAAGGCAAGAAUCAGCCAAAUAUGAUGAUGAGAACAAGGCUAAUGAUGGAGAACCUUCAUCUAUCGAAGCUGGGCAGUCUAUUGGGAAUACUAAGUUUCAAUGCGCAUCCUAA